rnacentral:lncRNA from 1 species
AAAUAGUGUUUGGGGUUAAAGGGGGAGAUAACCCGCUUAACCCCCUCCUUUAACCCCGAACCAAACACUAGCUAAGGCCACCAAUUCUAGAGUUUCCUAGAUUCUCCUAAACCAUUAUUCAUUCUGAUACCACCUCAGUCUGUCAUAUCCCGAUACCGCCAAUUUGGACAGUUCAGGCUCGCAACAGACCUUUCGGACAGAGCCUCCCCUAUUC